rnacentral:rRNA from 1 species
CUACGGGAUGCACCAGUGGGGAAUAUUGGACAAUGGGGGAAAUCCUGAUCCAGCAAUGCCGCGUGUGUGAAGAAGGCCUGCGGGUUGUAAAGCACUUUCGGUUGGGAGGACUGCUUCUAGCACUAAUAUUGUUGGAAGUUGACGUUACCUUCAGAAGAAGCACCGGCUAACUCCGUGCCAGCAGCCGCGGUAAUACGGAGGGUGCAAGCGUUAAUCGGAAUUACUGGGCGUAAAGCGCGCGUAGGCGGCUAGAUCAGUCGGGUGUGAAAGCCCCGGGCUUAACCUGGGAACUGCAUCCGAUACUGUCUAGCUUGAGUACAGGAGAGGAGAGUGGAAUUCCACAUGUAGCGGUGAAAUGCGUAGAUAUGUGGAGGAACACCAAUGGCGAAGGCAGCUCUCUGGCCUGAUACUGACGCUGAGGUGCGAAAGCGUGGGGAUCAAACAGGAUUAGAUACCCCGGUAGUC